rnacentral:rRNA from 1 species
UACGGAGGGUGCGAGCGUUGUCCGGAAUCACUGGGCGUAAAGGGCGCGUAGGCGGCGCGGGUAGUCAUCGGUGAAAGUUCAGGGCUCAACUCUGAAUCGGCCAGUGAUACUCCCGUGCUCGAGCACUGUAGAGGCAGGUGGAAUUCCGGGUGUAGCGGUGGAAUGCGUAGAGAUCCGGAAGAACACCGGUGGCGAAGGCGGCCUGCUGGGCAGUAGCUGACGCUGAUGCGCGACAGCGUGGGGAGCAAACAGG